rnacentral:rRNA from 1 species
AAUGAACGUUGGCGGCGUGGAUUAGGCAUGCAAGUCGAGCGUGAUCAGUUUGGUGCUUGCAUUAAACUGUGAAAGCGGCGAAAGGGAGAGUAACGCGUAGUUACCUGCCUCAGGGUUCAGAAUAGCCACGAGAAACUGUGGGUAAUGCUGAAUAACAUCUCCGGAUCAAAGGUGUGAUUCCGCCCUGAGAGGGGACUGCGUCCUACUAGUUUGUUGGUGGGGUAAUGGCCUAGCAAGACUUUGAUGGGUAGCGGGUGUGAGAGCAUGACCCGUCUCACUGGGACUGAGACACUGCCCAGACACCUACGGGUGGCUGCAGUCGAGAAUCUUCGGCAAUGCGCGCAAGCGUGACCGAGCGACGCCGCGUGCGGGAUGAAGGCCUUCGGGUUGUAAACCGCUGUCGUAGGGGAGGAAGGCUCCAUGAAGAAUGGGGUUUGACCUAUCCUAGGAGGAAGGACGGGCUAAGUUCGUGCCAGCCGCCGCCGUAA